UCUUUGGUGGCGGGAGCAAUCCUACCGCCAGAGGUUAUAACUAAACCAAACUUUUUAUUUACAGUCAAACUUGAUUUAUUAUUACAAUAGUCAAAACUUUCAACAACGGAUCUCUUGGUUCUCGCAUCGAUGAAGAACGCAGCGAAAUGCGAUACGUAAUAUGAAUUGCAGAUAUUCGUGAAUCAUCGAAUCUUUGAACGCACAUUGCGCCCUUUGGUAUUCCAAAGGGCAUGCCUGUUUGAGCGUCAUUUCUCCCUCAAACCCCCGGGUUUGGUGUUGAGCAAUACGCUAGGUUUGUUUGAAAGAAUUUAACGUGGAAACUUAUUUUAAGCGACUUAGGUUUAUCCAAAAACGCUUAUUUUGCUAGUGGCCACCACAAUUUAUUUCAUAACUUUGACCUCAAAUCAGGUAGGACUACCCGCUGAACUUAAGCAUAUCUAACCCCGG
rnacentral:rRNA from 1 species